UAUUCAGAUUUCUUUAGUUUUUGACCUAGUGUUCUUUUCUGUCCUUCAACCUGUUGUAGGACCUCAUUCAGAACACAUCAUGUUUGGUUGCCAUGGCUCUUUGGGCUCUUCCAGACUGUGACAGCUUCUCAGAUUUUCCUUGCUUUUGAUGACCUGAAUAGUUUUCAGGCGUAGUCUUCAGGCAUUUUGUUGAGUUUCCUUCAGUUGGGGUUUGCCUGGUGUUUUUCCCAUGUAUCGACUGGGGUUAUGGGAUUUGUGUGUGUGUGUGUGUGUGUGUGUAAAGAGUCCUAGGACCAGCCACUUCUCCAAGGAGCCAUGGGUCCUUUUAAUGAGAAAUGAUAUUAGAAAUGAAGACUCGGACACUGGCAGUAUUGUUGCUUCUAGGCCCUCUCAGCUGACAGAGCAAGGGAAUGUAUGUGUGAAUACUAACCUGAGCUCGAUACCUAGCUAACAUCUAUCUUCCCAACAACUACGCCAGGGAAGGGGUCGUUUCCACAUUUCAUAAACAAAGAGACUGGGUGAGACUCAGAGAGGCUAAGAAAGCUGCCCGAUGCCAUAGGGCAAUACGCAGCGAUGGAGAGGAGAUUCAAAUUUGGAUUUGUCUGGAUCCAAAAUCUCUUUUCCUUCCAUGACAACAAAACUGAGGAGAAGAGAGAGAGAUGAGUAGCUGUCUGUCAAUAAUUAUUCCAAUUUCCCUUGUCCACAUGCUUUCCUGCCUUCACUCCCUUCUGAGUUGUUCUUACUCUUCAGAGGUAAAGCAGAGCCUUUCAUAGAGCUAUAAAUGUUGAUCAAAGUACCAGAUUAUGAGAUUAUUCAGAGGCUAAUAUGUAAUCCUUGGGGUUUCCUUUCUCAUCUCACUCUCACUGCUGCCAGCAUUAAUGCUUUCUGAUAAACAUAUGGCCUCCUUUUUAUUCUAGAAAACACUGGUUCUCAACAACAAAGGAAGUACACUUAAGCAGACUAAGGCAUAUAUAGUCAUCACUAAGCACUCAACCUGGAAAGACUAUUGGAUUGUAGCCCAUUCUUUCUAUAAAGACAAUUGUAUUAUAAAACCAAGUGAGACAAGAGGGAAUAUUCUCUGGUCAACUAAGCAUAUCUAAAGCACAUUAGAAAUUGGGAGACAAUAUUGUGUGUUAUUUUAAGAAAAGCUUGUGUAGAACUACUACCUGGUUGCCAGCAAAUAGCAUGUAUAAAAAGGGAAGGUAAUAAGAAAAAAGAGUCUAAGUAAAAGAAAAGUAUGUGAACAGUUUUGUUCUUAGAACUCAACUGUUGGUCACAGAACUCAGCUGUUAAGAAUACAUCAUUUACAGUUGCCUGCCUGGAUUCUGUGAUAGUUCUUUAGUAUUUGAGAUAUUAAGACAGGCACGUGUUUUGGUCAUUUCUGGAAAAGCCAGGGCUGUCCUGGAAACUCCUUGUAUAUUCUAGCCUUUUAUUGUGAGGCGGCAAUAAAAAUAGAGAAAUGUUAUAGAGAGUGAAUUUUAUAUGACUUUGGGACACAAUGGAAGA